CCUACGGGUGGCAGCAGUCGAGAAUCAUUCACAAUGGGGGAAACCCUGAUGGUGCGACGCCGCGUGGGGGAAUGAAGGUCUUCGGAUUGUAAACCCCUGUCAUGUGGGAGCAAAUUAAAACGAUCGUACCACAAGAGGAAGAGCCGGCUAACUCUGUGCCAGCAGCCGCGGUAAUACAGAGGUCUCAAGCGUUGUUCGGAAUCACUGGGCGUAAGGCGUGCGUAGGCUGUUUCGUAAGUCGUGUGUGAAAGGCGCGGGCUCAACCCGCGGACGGCACAUGAUACUGCGAGACUAGAGUAAUGGAGGGGGAACCGGAAUUCUCGGUGUAGCAGUGAAAUGCGUAGAUAUCGAGAGGAACACUCGUGGCGAAGGCGGGUUCCUGGACAUUAACUGACGCUGAGGCACGAAGGCCAGGGGAGCGAAAGGGAUUAGAUACCCGGGUAGUC
rnacentral:rRNA from 1 species